rnacentral:lncRNA from 1 species
UUUUCUAUAAAAAAUUCAACCUAUUCCGAUUCUUUUUCAUCGUUAAACUAGUAAAUAUCUCAUACUGGCCAUUAAAAAUUAUCAAUUUUGUGAGCUUUUGAUCAUAAGGUAAAUGAUAUCGAAAAAUUAUAAAAUUUGAUUUCUAAAAGUUUUAAAUGCUCUAAAUAAUGCUUAACGGUGUGGAUCAUUGAUUUGGAAGCUCUAUCAUCAAAAACAAUUUAUGAGUACGAGGGCGAUCGCACUCAUAAAAGUAUAGUAGCCGGACUCUUGUCUGGCUGGGAUACUAUCGAUAGCACCAAGCAUUUGGUGUUACCGAGUUUUCCGCAGUUGGAUUUAACCCUUUGACUAUUUUUAUCUAUUAGAUUAUACUAUUCAAUCAACAAAUCACUCAACCUUAGAGGGCCCACAUCGUCCUGACCGUACAUUUCUUCAUCCAAGGGCCGAAACCUAAUAACACUAACAACUUGGUGCUAUUGAUAGCAUUCCAGUCUAGUUAUAUAUAACGGGUGAAAAGAGUCAAAUGGUGUCACACCCCAAUAAUCCUAUAUCGGAUAGGAAUGCAGAUAUGAUUGGGUAUAAAAGAGACUUAGACGCUAGUAAUAAUAACUGUAUUUAAGCAUUUUGGGCCGUUGUUUGGGCUCAACGAAUUAUUGUCGCUAGUGGGCUGGGUCGUUAUAUUUGGUAUCAGAGUCAGUUCACCAACCGAAAAUGUAUGGCGAGUCUCGGCUGAGCAAAGUUCUAAAAGACAAGAUGAUAGACUAUACCGGAGUCUGAAUGAUAAGGUGACCGGCUAUACCAGAGUUUGGAUGACAAGGCUAGCGAGACGAGUCUCACAUCGCUGGUAAUUUUGGGCAUCACGGGUAAUCUUGAGCAGUGUGUGUGAUUGAACUGACGAGGACGUCAGAGCAUAAUAACUAAAUCCAACGGCGAAAAACUCGAUAACACUAAAUGCUCGCUGUUAUGACAGUAUCACAGCCGGACUCUCUCUCUCUCUCUCUCUCUCUCGCUCUCUCCUGUUAUCCUGUGCGGCGUUACCUUCUUCCUUUC